rnacentral:rRNA from 1 species
UACGUAGGGUGCGAGCGUUGUCCGGAAUUACUGGGCGUAAAGAGCUCGUAGGUGGUUUGUCGCGUUGUUCGUGAAAACCGGGGGCUUAACCCUCGGCGUGCGGGCGAUACGGGCAGACUUGAGUACUGCAGGGGAGACUGGAAUUCCUGGUGUAGCGGUGGAAUGCGCAGAUAUCAGGAGGAACACCGGUGGCGAAGGCGGCAUCCUGGACCAACACUGACACUGAGGAGCGAAAGUGUGGGGAGCGAACAGG